AACGAACGCUGGCGGCAGGCUUAACACAUGCAAGUCGAACGCCCCGCAAGGGGAGUGGCAGACGGGUGAGUAACGCGUGGGAACAUACCCUUUUCUACGGAAUAGCCCUGGGAAACUGGAAUUAAUACCGUAUACGCCCUACGGGGGAAAGAUUUAUCGGGGAAGGAUUGGCCCGCGUUGGAUUAGCUAGUUGGUGGGGUAAAGGCCUACCAAGGCGACGAUCCAUAGCUGGUCUGAGAGGAUGAUCAGCCACAUUGGGACUGAGACACGGCCCAAACUCCUACGGGAGGCAGCAGUGGUGAAUAUUGGACAAUGGGCGCAAGCCUGAUCCAGCCAUGCCGCGUGAGUGAUGAAGGCCUUAGGGUUGUAAAGCUCUUUCACCGAUGAAGAUAAUGACGGUAGUCGGAGAAGAAGCCCCGGCUACUUCGUG
rnacentral:rRNA from 1 species